AGUGAACGCUGGCGGUAGGCCUAACACAUGCAAGUCGAACGGCAGCACAGUAAGAGCUUGCUCUUACGGGUGGCGAGUGGCGGACGGGUGAGGAAUACAUCGGAAUCUACUUUUUCGUGGGGGAUAACGUAGGGAAACUUACGCUAAUACCGCAUACGACCUACGGGUGAAAGCAGGGGAUCUUCGGACCUUGCGCGAUUGAAUGAGCCGAUGUCGGAUUAGCUAGUUGGCGGGGUAAAGGCCCACCAAGGCGACGAUCCAUAGCUGGUCUGAGAGGAUGAUCAGCCACACUGGAACUGAGACACGGUCCAGACUCCUACGGGAGGCAGCAGUGGGGAAUAUUGGACAAUGGGCGCAAGCCUGAUUCAGCCAUACCGCGUGGGUGAAGAAGGCCUUCGGGUUGUAAAGCCCUUUUGUUGGGAAAGAAAAGCAGCAGGUUAAUACCCCGCUGUUCUGACGGUACCCAAAGAAUAAGCACCGGCUAACUUCGUG
rnacentral:rRNA from 1 species